GUGCACCAGGCGCGAAACUUCACACUGUGCGAAAGCACGAUGAGGGAAUCCCAAGUGCUUGCACGUAAGUGUAAGCUGUUUCUCUGUUUAAACGCAGAGAGAGUAAGGGCUGGGUAAGGCGGGUGCCAGCCGCCGCGGUAAUACCUGCAGCUCAAGUGGUGACCGUUAUUAUUGGGCCUAAAACGUCCGUAGCCGGUUUAAUAAAUGCCUGGGUAAAUCGUGUAGCUUAACUAUACGAAUUCCGGGUAGACUGUUAAACUCGAGACCGGGAGAAGUUAGAGGUACUCCUGGGGUAGAGGUGAAAUUCUGUAAUCCUAGGGGGACCACCAGUGGCGAAGGCGUUCAGCUGGAACGGCUUCGACGGUGAGGGACGAAAGCCAGGGGAGCGAACGGGGAUUAGAUACCCGUGUAGU
rnacentral:rRNA from 1 species